GCAAGGGAAUCAGACAUCACAUAAAAAAACGAUUAUAAAAGAAGUUUCUAAUAAAAUGGAUGUACAGGUAAAUGGGGUAAAUGAUACAAGUGCUACAUGCUGUGAGAGUUCGGAUGAGUUAGGUCGUAAUGAUCAGACAAAGGAGGAAAGUCGAACACUCGGUAAAUGUAAAAGUGACUUUGAACGUUUGUUGGAGCUGGUCAGUGAUAGGGUUUCUAAAGCAGACAGUGAAUUAAAAGAAGCGAGAAAGGACAAAAAUGCGGAGGAAGUACAAGAUGACACAAAUAAAGAAACAAAAGAGAAUGAAAAAAAAAAGUAUAGUUUUACUAUGAAAUUGAGAAAUAUAUUUUCGUCAAAAGGGAAUAAUAAUAAAAUAAAAGAAGAUACUGUGUGUGACGAUAGUAAGGAUAUGGAUGGGACUGUCACUGAUGAGGGUGAUAAAAACAUUAUACCAGAUGAUGUCAAAAAAAAUGGAGAUGUUAACACAUGUAUAAGUAGUGACAAUAGAGAUACAGGUGGUGGGACUAACACAAGUGAUAAAACUGAUACAAAUCGUGAUAGUAAUACAAGUUGUGACAGUACGAGCGAUAAAAUUGACGCGGAUCGUACUAAUACAAGUUGUGACAACACGAACAAUAGUAGCAUUAAUGAUGUCACUGACAACAUGUCAAACAAUUUGUUGCUUAAAUCAUUUUUAAAAAUAUGUAGUUAUGUAGAUAAUGAAAAUUGUUUUACUAAAACUUCAAAUGGUUAUUAUAUGUUCAAAAAUGAUAGCGCAAAUAAAAACGUGGGUAAAGGCGUGGAUAAAAAUAACAAUAAUGAUGAUGAUGAUAGUGUUAAUGAAAAAAAUGAAUACAUUGUCCGACCGUUUAAUACAAUUGAAAAUCAUCGAUUGUAUUGCCCUUACAUAAUGAACGAUUUGUAUUCUUUUUCCAAAAUAACUAAACUUUUUUUUGAAUUACUUACAUCAGAAUUCCAAAGGAAAUAAAUAUAAAGGAAAAGAAAACUAUAUAUACAAAAAAGAUUUUUUUUUUUUUUUUUUUAAUGCGAGUUAAUACGCAAAUGCAAUAUGUAGAUAUACUUGCAUUUGAAAGGCGAAAAUGUAAAAGCGGAAGAUGGGGAGAAUAGUGUAAACAAAAAAAUAUAUAUAAUAAUCAUAUUAUACAUAAUAUUGAUGAGUGACGAAUAUAAAAAAGAUGGUAAAUUAUUAAGCAUGCUUGUGCUUGUUUGUUUGUUUUUUAAAUAAAAACAACCACAAUGCGUGAAUUCCUUUUCA
rnacentral:lncRNA from 1 species